rnacentral:rRNA from 1 species
GAGUUUGAUCCUGGCUCAGGACGAACGCUGGCGGCAUGCCUAAUACAUGCAAGUCGAGCGGAGUUGAUAGGAAGCUUGCUUCCUUGAUACUUAGCGGCGGACGGGUGAGUAACACGUAGGCAACCUGCCCUCAAGUUUGGGACAACUACCGGAAACGGUAGCUAAUACCGAAUAGUUGUUUUCUUCGCCUGAAGGAAACUGGAAAGACGGAGCAAUCUGUCACUUGGGGAUGGGCCUGCGGCGCAUUAGCUAGUUGGUGGGGUAACGGCUCACC